GCAUCUUCUUGGGUUAAAAACUCCGGUGGUUAAAGAUGGGCAUGCGUUGUAUUAGCUAGUUGGUGAGGUAACGGCUCACCAAGGCAACGAUACAUAGGGGGACUGAGAGGUUAACCCCCCACAUUGGUACUGAGACACGGACCAAACUCCUACGGGAGGCAGCAGUGAGGAAUAUUGGUCAAUGGACGCAAGUCUGAACCAGCCAUGCCGCGUGCAGGAAGACGGCUCUAUGAGUUGUAAACUGCUUUUGUACUAGGGUAAACGCUUCUACGUGUAGGAGCCUGAAAGUAUAGUACGAAUAAGGAUCGGCUAACUCCGUGCCAGCAGCCGCGGUAAUACGGAGGAUCCAAGCGUUAUCCGGAUUUAUUGGGUUUAAAGGGUGCGUAGGCGGUUUGAUAAGUUAGAGGUGAAAUACCGGGGCUCAACUCCGGAACUGCCUCUAAUACUGUUGAACUAGAGAGUAGUUGCGGUAGGCGGAAUGUAUGGUGUAGCGGUGAAAUGCUUAGAGAUCAUACAGAACACCGAUUGCGAAGGCAGCUUACCAAACUAUAUCUGACGUUGAGGCACGAAAGCGUGGGGAGCAAACAGGAUUAGAUACCCUGGUAGUCCACGCAGUAAACGAUGAUAACUCGUUGUCGGCGAUACACAGUCGGUGACU
rnacentral:rRNA from 1 species